UACGAAGGGGGCUAGCGUUGUUCGGAAUCACUGGGCGUAAAGCGCGUGUAGGCGGAUAUGCAAGCAAGAGGUGAAAGCCCAGGGCUUAACCUUGGAACUGCCUUUUGAACUGUAUAUCUGGAGUUUUGGAGGGGAGUGUGGAAUUCCUAAUGUAGAGGUGAAAUUCGUAGAGAUUAGGAGGAACACCGGUGGCGAAGGCGGCACUCUGGACAAAUACUGACGCUGAGACGCGAAAGCGUGGGGAGCAAACAGG
rnacentral:rRNA from 1 species